GCAUUAAUGGGGUAGUGGUAACCUGGGUCGUUGCCACCAACUGAUUAUUCUCAGCACUCGACCCGCCGGGGGUUCGAUUCCCCCUUAAUGCA